UCCUGGCCUCCUGAUCCACCCGCCUCAGCCUCCCAAAGUACUGGGAUUACAGGCCUCAGCCACUUUAUUACACUAUUAUGAUAAAUGUUCAUUAGGAUGUUUUACAGAUAAGGUGGCCAAUAAAUAAAGAUUGCUAUCAAAACUGUUUAUUAAUACUCUUCUCUCUGGGAUUACCUUUAAAUAUAUCUAAUGUUUACCUAAAAGGAAGAUGCUGAGUCAAAGUUAAUAUAAGUAGCGAGUUUAUUUGGGCCAGGCUUGAGGAUUGCAACCCCAGAAUAUAGAUUGGUGUUGCCCUGACUACAGACACAGGUUAGCAGCAGUUAUAAGUGGAUGGAGUUUUAAAGACUGAAGGGAGGGACAGGAAGUGUGCUGAUACAAAGUUGUUUGUCAGGAAUUGUUCUUGGUUUACAGAAACAACAUUGGUUCUUGAUUGUCUAUAUCCAUUGUUGAGCUAUGCAUUAUUAGGUUAAUUUGUAGCUACUUGUGGCAAUAGCAAGCAGUUUCAAGAGAGGAAGACAGAGCUCAAAAGGGUGGGAGGGGGUGUAAAAAGUAAUUGCUGUAUCAUUUUAAUGUUUCUCUAGGCCUGAUAAUAAAGACUUGCAUUCCUUAGAUGAAAGUUCUUUUCUCAGUAGCUUAAAAAAGCAUGAAGUGUUACAUAUUAACAUGAGUUUUGCCUUACAACUCAAACAUAAUACAGUGUUUGAGUGAGUAAUAUAUUUGUUUUGUCAAUUUAACUUUGAGUCUUGGCCCUGAAGGAAGAGGGCAUAGUCAUAAAGGAAUGCUAGUGGAAGUGAUGCGUGAACCCUAGCAGGGGAAUUCACUGCUUUGCUCUUUUCCUCCUCCUGGUUCCUGAGACUCUUAGUAGAGCUUUUGGAGACUUAAUGAGAGUUGUUGAGUUAUUGGUCAACUCAUUUGGCUUGAAGCAAAGUAAAAAGUAAGCAAAGACUACACUUCUUCAGUUGCUCUUCACGUUUUAAUAGUUUAGAGUUGUCUCUUUGCAGUUACAGCUUCCAAGGGAAAGUGUUUCUCAGUCAGGGAAAUAUGUGGGAGGUUAAAAAAAAAAGAAAA